CAAAUUAUAGCAUAUAUAAAUGCCUUUUAUUUACACUAAAAAAAAAAUAUUUUUAUUUAAUUUGA
rnacentral:tRNA from 1 species